AGGUAAGCUACUAAGAGCGAAUGGUGGAUGCCUUGACUGGUAAAGGCGAUGAAGGACGUACUAGACUGCGAUAAGCUACGGGGAGCUGUCAAGAAGCUUUGAUCCGUAGAUUUCCGAAUGGGGCAACCCAAUGUAUAGAGAUAUACAUUACCUAUAUAGGAGCGAACGAGGGGAAUUGAAACAUCUUAGUACCCUCAGGAAAAGAAAUCAAUAGAGAUUGCGUCAGUAGCGGCGAGCGAAAGCGCAAGAGGGCAAACCCAGUGCUUGCACUGGGGGUUGUAGGACUGCAAUGUGCAAGAGGUAAGUUUAGCAGAACAUUCUGGAAAGUAUAACCAUAGAGGGUGAUAGUCCCGUAUGCGAAAAACAAACCUUAGCUAGCAGUAUCCUGAGUAGGGCGGGACACGAGGAAUCCUGUCUGAAUCCGGGUCGACCACGAUCCAACCCUAAAUACUAAUACCAGAUCGAUAGUGCACAAGUACCGUGAGGGAAAGGUGAAAAGAACUGAGGUGAUCAGAGUGAAAUAGAACCUGAAACCAUUUGCUUACAAUCAUUCAGAGCCCUAUGUAGCAAUACAGGGUGAUGGACUGCCUUUUGCAUAAUGAGCCUGCGAGUUGUGGUGUCUGGCAAGGUUAAGCAAACGCGAAGCCGUAGCGAAAGCGAGUCUGAAUAGGGCGCUUAGUCAGAUGCUGCAGACCCGAAACGAAGUGAUCUAUCCAUGAGCAAGUUGAAGCUAGUGUAAGAACUAGUGGAGGACUGAACCCAUAGGCGUUGAAAAGCCCCGGGAUGACUUGUGGAUAGGGGUGAAAGGCCAAUCAAACUUCGUGAUAGCUGGUUCUCUCCGAAAUAUAUUUAGGUAUAGCGUUGUGUCGUAAUAUAAGGGGGUAGAGCACUGAAUGGGCUAGGGCAUACACCAAUGUACCAAACCCUAUCAAACUCCGAAUACCUUAUAUGUAAUCACAGCAGUCAGGCGGCGAGUGAUAAAAUCCGUCGUCAAGAGGGAAACAACCCAGACUACCAGCUAAGGUCCCUAAAUCUUACUUAAGUGGAAAACGAUGUGAAGUUACUUAAACAACCAGGAGGUUGGCUUAGAAGCAGCCAUCCUUUAAAGAAAGCGUAAUAGCUCACUGGUCUAGUGAUUUUGCGCGGAAAAUAUAACGGGGCUAAAGUAAGUACCGAAGCUGUAGACUUAGUUUACUAAGUGGUAGGAGAGCGUUCUAUUUGCGUCGAAGGUAUACCGGUAAGGAGUGCUGGAGCGAAUAGAAGUGAGCAUGCAGGCAUGAGUAGCGAUAAUUAAUGUGAGAAUCAUUAACGCCGUAAACCCAAGGUUUCCUACGCGAUGCUCGUCAUCGUAGGGUUAGUCGGGUCCUAAGUCGAGUCCGAAAGGGGUAGACGAUGGCAAAUUGGUUAAUAUUCCAAUACCAACAUUAGUGUGCGAUGGAAGGACGCUUAGGGCUAAGGGGGCUAGCGGAUGGAAGUGCUAGUCUAAGGUCGUAGGAGGUUAUACAGGCAAAUCCGUAUAACAAUACUCCGAGAACUGAAAGGCUUUUUGAAGUCUUCGGAUGGAUAGAAGAACCCCUGAUGCCGUCGAGCCAAGAAAAGUUUCUAAGUUUAGCUAAUGUUGCCCGUACCGUAAACCGACACAGGUGGGUGGGAUGAGUAUUCUAAGGCGCGUGG
rnacentral:rRNA from 1 species